UCACACACAUUUACACACCUUUAUACUACAAUCUUAUUCUCCUUAAAUCUCGUGCCCAAAAAAGUGCACCACUUUGACCGGGGCGGAGGGAGUAUAAUAUAUUUUUUUAUAUAAAUUAUAAAAAUAAAUAAAGAAAUUUUUAGAGACCGCGUAACGGAAGAUUCGAAUCCAAGAUCUCAGGUGUAGGGCAUUAACCUCCAACCAUUAGGCCAACACACACACACUAUUAUAACUAUUUUAUACUACUAUAACAAAAGUAACUCAUUAAUUUUAUAUUUCUAAAAAAUAUAAAUUAAAUCUUUUAUUAUUUUAAUUAAUUAUAUAUCUUGGUGCUGUACGAAAAUAAAACUAGUUAAUAAUAUAAAACAAAAGAAAUUAAUUAAAUACCGAAAGAGAUCAAGAUUAUUUGGUUGUUGACAAGGUUUGUUUAACAUAGCCUUAAAUUGUUAAUGCUUAUCUCAUCGGGGCCCCAGCCCAAAGGGAGAAAUUGGACCGGUCCGGGCCUACGACACAGUGUUUUGAAUUAUGGUUAGGGCCCAAAUCUUUUAGGCACAUUCCGAUCUAAAAUCAAGUAUGAAUUUCCAAUUUUUAUGUUUAAAAUAAUUUCUAAUUUAUCUUUCUCCCAAAUUAUGUUAUUUAAUAUUUAUUCUGAUUUACAAUUGAACGUAUGAUUCAGAAAAUAGAAUAUAUAUAUGUAAAAAAUAGAAAAGUCGUGGGUGGAUAUAUAGUUGAACGUAUAACAAACUGGUCCAAUGAUCCAAUCAUUUUGCAGACAAAUGAACCAAAUAUGUGAGGUUGAUUUAAAAGAUUUAUGUUAGCCACCCAUAUCCCAAUUCCCAAUCUUUCAUUUUAUUUUUUUAAAACAAAAAAAAAAUUAUAUGUUCAUUUUGACGUAUGAGACGAUGUGGAUGUAUUACGAUCGGAUGCGCCUACAUAACAUGGGUUGUCUCUUUUGGGGAAGUAAGACAUCUUGCAAAUUUAAGGUUUCUGAACUUGGUUUCCACCUUAGUUUAUCCUUGUAUUUAUUUUAAUUUUCCUCGUGUUGUUACACUUAAAAUAGCAAAUUACAAUAAUACACUUAGUCUUGGCAUCUAGUAUAUUAUGUUCCAACAACAAAAUUUAUUACAAAAAACAAACUGACUGAUGAGGGAUAUGAUCAUUUUAUUUUUCAAAUACUCAAUCAAUAUUUUAUCUAUUUAUCUCAUCAGAUUAAAUUUAAACACGUUAAGAGGGUUGAUAAUAAUUCUAUAAUACGCACUAGUAAUAAAUUAAUAUAUAAUGCUGGCUAUAAAUUAGUAGGGCACUGAGGCCAUUGAAAAUAAAAUAAAGUUUUGUGUCUCCUUUUUUCUUAAACCGAUUAACGUCCUAAUUCACAUAUAAUAAUAAUAAUAAUAAUAAUAAUAAUAAUAAUAAUAAUAAUAAUAAUAAUAAUAAUAAUAAUAAUAAUAAUAAAAUAUAGAAUUAUAAAAGGUGUCCAUUAUGUAAUCGAAUAAACAACCCGCAUGUAGGCGAGACUUCUACAUCACACAAAAGUGCAAAAAUAAUCGCACGCAACUACCCACAUAAAUGUGGAAAAAUUAUUCGUACGCAAGCGAAAUUAAACUCAAAACUUCUAAUAAAGAAGAGUAUUUGGGUGCUUCAAUUUUGUCACUUGAGCUAGGCCUCAUCGGCUAUUCGACCACGUCAUUUUGAGCUACGUAUUAGUUUGUUUCUUUUCAAAGAAUCCAUAUAAAGUUAUAAACAAUGUUGAAAUACUAUCUUUUAAAGAACCCACAUAAACAACUUUUAAACAAUGUUGAAAUAUUGUGAAAGUGAAGCGCCCGAGUUUUUCACAUCAUUUAUUUUAUUGGAGCAGACAAUUAUUAAGCUAGAUUAUUUAAACUCUAAACCAUAAUUUUUCCAUUUUUGAGGUGGUCAUCAUCUCUCUAUGCCGAAAGGUAGAUAUGCUACAACAUAUACAAUUCCCUAGGAUGAUCACAAACUUUGUUCUAUAAAAUUACAGAUUCCUAUUAUACUCUAAAUUCAAUUUUUUUCUCUCUUUUUACCAUCACUUUCCCAUUUUUCAUUUGCAACUUUUUUCUUCAACGGUCCCAUUUCCACACUUUCUAAUUUCUUUUCACUUUAAACUUUUCCAAAGUUCAGUUUUAGUUUUUGUUUAUCAAAUACCGUGCGUCGGACCAGAGCUUUUGGAUUUGAUUACAUUUAGCACUCCACUUUGUCCACAACAAUGUUAAGAAAAAUAAAAUGUUUUUUUUAUAUUAUAUAAUUUCUUUUGCAUAGCUUAGAUUUCAGAUUUUAUCCCUUUACACAAGAGAUGUCUAUUGUUUUGGAUGUCAAGAAAGAUAACUUUAUCCGAUCAAUUUAAAGUGAGAACUGUUAUGUUGUUCUCUCUCCGUUCCAACGAAAACGGUGCGUAUUCUUUUUUGAGCCAUCCCAACUCCCAAUGAAAGUGGUGUAUUUUUGUCACAGCCCGCCCUAACUAAGGAUAGUUAAGCCGAGUGAUCUACGACUAGGGAUGGGGUUAAAGAAGAAGGGGAAGAAAAGGGGCGUCAUUUAUAGCCGUAAAACUUACUCAUCUUAAUAAAACUCGUCAUUUUUAUUCAUUAAUACUCAAUUGAAAAUAGUCUAUGAAAGACAGCAUAAAACUUAAUUAAUAUCAUUAAUCAAGUUAUACAUCAUAUGAACCAUUCUCUUAAGACUCAAAGUAUGACAUAACAUACUAUAACAUCAACAACAUCUUGCAGCGGAAAGUAGCUAGACAUAUGUAUGAAGACAUAUUCUAGACAGGUUAACUAUUUAUUAACAACCCUGGAGACUCCGCUCAUUGCAGCACCAUCAUCACAUCAGCUCAACCUGCACAUUUAGAAAACAUAUGCAGGGCUGAGUACAAAAGCACUCAGUGGGCACGUAUGCCUAGGUAUAAAAAUACAUGCUUCAAAACUGUAAAUUGUCAUGCCAUCAUAAACAGUACAGCAAGGGAGUUUUUCGCUAAAAAGGCCCAAGCUUACUAAGUUCAUUUGUGAUUCUUAAAGUUCGUCUGCAGACUAAGUUCUCUUGUAAUCUAUCAUAUCUGGAACUGUGUGCCGGAGAGGUGGCCACCUCUCACGGUCACUUGACCGGCCAACCCGCUAGAUGACUCACGGUCACUGGUGUACACUAGCCCUGGCAGGAUAGCUAUCAACUGCUCAGGACCCGAAUUCGAUUGCAUCAUUGGCAAAGCCAAAGCAGAUAGAUAUCAUACUAAAAUUGAAACAUUUUAUGGCAAGACAAUAGUUGAAAUAACUUUAACUCAAAGAUUUUGUCAUGAAAUAACUUGCUUGAACGUAACAUUUAAACUCAUUUGAUAUAUAUGAAACUGAAAUUAACAGUUAGAUCAUCUCAUGCAUUCAUUCGUAUAAGAGGCCUACGACACGCAGGGGAUCUCUAUAUACGUAUAGUAAAAGUAAUGCCCACCUGAUUGCAGUGUUUUGCUACUUAAGACAAUGAUUCUCUUUCCUUAGCGCGAUAGGUUACUCAGACGCUUUUGUUUAUUUGAACCUUUAAUAACACGAAAACAUGUGUUCGAGUGAAUAAUAGAAAAGAUAACAACAAAUGCAGUGAAUCACUAUUCACUCAUUUCUCUAACUACCCAUAUUUCCUUAAACGACUAUAUCUAACUCAUAUACAAUCGUUCUUCCUUUAUCAAAAUACUUCAUGUACCUUUGAGGAUGUAGGAAAUUCCAUUUUAUAUUAUUCAUUUAUUUAUCUAUUAUAAAUAAAGAAUAAUUCUAUAAAACAUAAAACGUUUUCCUUUUCCCCAUUUAAUAAUGUCAAUCACCAAUAUAUAUAUAUAUAUAUAUAUACACAUCAAUAGCUCAUUUAUAAACUAAAAGUGAUAUUUUAUUCAACAAUAAAACUUUAAAAUUACUUUAAAUAGGUAAUUUAUUUUGUAAUCUAUUUCCUAUCUCAACAAAACUGUAUAGAUUCAACUUCAACUAAUAAACUGUCUUUUACUANCCAUCCCAACUCCCAAUGAAAGUGGUGCAUUUUCUGUUUUGGUAAUAAUUUUACACUACAAACAAUGGCCCCCACACACCUUUACACACUUUUACACUACAAUCUUAUUCUCCUUAAAUCUCGUGUUGAAAAGAAGCGCACCGCUUUCAUUAGGACGGAGGGAGUAGUACUUUAUGUAAUACCUGCCGGUCCAAUAACACAUAAAAUCUCGCACAAAUACCACAAGUAAUAUCACGAGAGAUACUAAAAACAGUAAGUAACUGAAACAAUAACAACCAAAGACGCAAGCAAUGGUAUCCCAGUUCGGUGAUAGAACACCUACGUCUAGGGGGCCUCGCCCAGGGAAAACGAUUCACGAUGUGAGGUUAAAUUACAGCAGGACUUAUACAAAGACUCAAUCUUUCUAAUGCCUCUAUAAUUUCCCAAAAUCCCAACACACGAUAAACCGUUGAAAGCUAGAUAACAAUAACUCUCUAAGUGUGAGCCCCGACGAACACACUUAAUCCCUUACAACCAAUAAUUCACAAAACAGAUAAAACUGACUUGCUUUGCUCAACACAGAGAAUAAACGGAAAGCUAGUGAAAAACAAGAACAUAAAUACGAAAGUAUGAUGUUCUCUCAAAGCAAGGUGCAGCGCUCAUGAACUGCUCGACAUAAUGCACAAAAAGGGUCAACCCUUCUUCAAGGUUGAAGACGACUUAUAUAGUUGUUGCAAUCAAAAGUCCUUGCUUAAACCAACUCUUUAAUACUCUGAGAAGUCGAUCACUAUAUGAC
rnacentral:lncRNA from 1 species